UUUCAUGCUGUGGGUGUUGAUGAAGAAGGCUCCAUUAAUGAAGAAGGAUGAUGAAAGCUCCUUUGAUGAAGAAGGCUCCUUUAAUGCUACCGAGUCCGAAGAUUUUGGAGUUCGAUUUUGUCACGGAUUUGGGGGAAAAAGAUAGGAGGCAAGGAUUAUUUGGCGUAAAAUACACCAAUUUUCUGUGAAUUUUGGGUUUUUUUU
rnacentral:lncRNA from 1 species